rnacentral:rRNA from 1 species
UACAGAGGUCUCAAGCGUUGUUCGGAUUCAUUGGGCGUAAAGGGUGCGUAGGCGGCGCGGUAAGUCGGGUGUGAAAUCUCGGAGCUUAACUCCGAAACUGCAUUCGAUACUGCCGUGCUUGAGGACUGGAGAGGAGACUGGAAUUUACGGUGUAGCGGUGAAAUGCGUAGAUAUCUGGAGGAACACCGGUGGCGAAGGCGGCGAUCUGGCCCAACAUUGACACUCAGACCCGAAAGUGCGGGGAUCAAACAGG